AUCGAACGCUGGCGGCAUGCCUUACACAUGCAAGUCGAACGGCAGCACGGGUGCUUGCACCUGGUGGCGAGUGGCGAACGGGUGAGUAAUAUAUCGGAACGUACCUUAUUGUGGGGGAUAACGCAGCGAAAGCUGUGCUAAUACCGCAUAAUCCCUAAGGGGGAAAGCGGGGGACCGUAAGGCCUCGCGCAAUUAGAGCGGCCGAUACCUGAUUAGCUAGUUGGUGAGGUAAAGGCUCACCAAGGCAACGAUCAGUAGCUGGUCUGAGAGGACGAUCAGCCACACUGGGACUGAGACACGGCCCAGACUCCUACGGGAGGCAGCAGUGGGGAAUUUUGGACAAUGGGGGCAACCCUGAUCCAGCAAUGCCGCGUGAGUGAAGAAGGCCUUCGGGUUGUAAAGCUCUUUUGUCAGGGAAGAAACAGCAGCUCUAAUACAGUUUGCGAAUGACGGUACCUGAAGAAUAAGCACCGGCUAACUACGUGCCAGCCGCCGCGGUAA
rnacentral:rRNA from 1 species